CUGAGGACCGCGUUCGGGUCACUUGCGGAACGCAACACCCGAUCUCCCUCCACGCGCCAGACAGGGCGCUGUCGGCGGGAGAGCGCGUCAUCAUCAG
rfam:uncultured archaeon A07HB70 genomic scaffold scf7180000022066, whole genome shotgun sequence.